GACGAACGCUGGCGGCGCGCCUAACACAUGCAAGUCGAACGAGCGAGAGAGAGCUUGCUUUCUCGAGCGAGUGGCGAACGGGUGAGUAACGCGUGAGGAACCUGCCUCAAAGAGGGGGACAACAGAUGGAAACGACUGCUAAUACCGCAUAAGCUCACGACCCGGCAUCGGGUAGAGGGAAAAGGAGCAAUCCGCUUUGAGAUUGCCUCGCGUCCGAUUAGCUAGUUGGUGAGGUAACGGCCCACCAAGGCGACGAUCGGUAGCCGGACUGAGAGGUUGAACGGCCACAUUGGGACUGAGACACGGCCCAGACUCCUACGGGAGGCAGCAGUGGGGAAUAUUGCACAAUGGGGGAAACCCUGAUGCAGCGACGCCGCGUGGAGGAAGAAGGUCUUCGGAUUGUAAACUCCUGUUGUUGAGGAAGAUAAUGACGGUACUCAACAAGGAAGUGACGGCUAACUACGUG
rnacentral:rRNA from 1 species